rnacentral:rRNA from 1 species
UUAGUAGUGUAGGGGUAAAAUCCGUAGAGAUUACUAGGAAUACCAAAAGCGAAGGCGAUCUUCUGGAACAGUACUGACGCUGAGGCGCGAAAGCGUGGGGAGCAAACAGGAUUAGAUACCCUGGUAGUCCACGCCCUAAACGAUGAAUGUUAGUCGUCGGGACUCUAGUAGUUUCGGUGAUGCAGUUAACACAUUAAACAUUCCGCCUGGGGAGUACGGUCGCAAGAUUAAAACUCAAAGGAAUAGACGGGGACCCGCACAAGUGGUGGAGCAUGUGGUUUAAUUCGAAGAUACGCGAAGAACCUUACCUAGCCUUGACAUAUUUUAGAACUCCGCAGAGAUGUAGAGGUGCCUUCGGGAGCUAAUAUACAGGUGCUGCACGGCUGUCGUCAGCUCGUGUCGUGAGAUGUUGGGUUAAGUCCCGCAACGAGCGCAACCCUCGUUCUUAGUUACUAACGGUUCGGCCGAGGACUCUAAGAAGACUGCCUUCGUAAGGAGGAGGAAGGUGAGGACGACGUCAAGUCAUCAUGGCCCUUACGGCUAGGGCAACACACGUGCUACAAUGGUUAGGACAAUGAGACGCAAUACCGCGAGGUGGAGCAAAUCUAUAAACCUAAUCUCAGUUCGGAUUGUAGUCUGCAACUCGACUACAUGAAGCUGGAAUCACUAGUAAUCGUAGAUCAGCUAUGCUGGCGGUGAAUACGUUCCCGGGUC